AUGGAGGAGAGGAUAAUGGACACACGUUCCACUUUCCUGUGUGUGUGUGUGUGUGUGUGUGUAAGUUUUGCAGUGUUUGUGAUUUUUCCUUUCAUCAAACAUGCCUCAAAAAGAGAUGUUUGUGGCCCUUAUGAAACACGUACAGUACCAGUCAAAAGUGUUAGUACACCUACUAAUUUCAAGGGUUUUUCUUUAUUUUUACUAUUUCUACAUUGUUUAAUAAUAGUGUAGACGUCAAAAUUAGGAAAUAACACAUAUGGAAUCAUACAGUAAACAAUAAAAGGUGUUAAACUAAUCAAAAUAUAUUUUAUAGCAGCCACCCUUUGCAAUGACAGCUUUGCACACUCUUGGCAUUCUCUCAACCAGCUUCACGAGGUAGUCAACUGGAAUUAAUUUCAAUUAACAUGUGUGCCUUGUUAACAGUUAAUUUGUGGAAUUUAAUUCCUUCUUAAUGCGUUUGAGCCAAUCAGUUGUGACAAGGUAGGGGUGGUAUACAGAAGAUAGCCCUUGGUAAAAGACCAAGUCCAUAUUAUGAAACAUCAUUCAAAUAAAGAUUUUAUUACAGUGAAAUGCUUACUUAUGAGCCCCUGACCAACAAUGCAGUUAAAAAAAAAAAUAGGGAUAAGAAUAAGAAAUAAAAGUAAUUAAAGAGCAGCAGUAAAAUAACAAUAGCGAGACUAUGUUUUUACAGGGAUAUACAGGGGGGGAACCGGUACAGAGUCAAUGUGCAGGGGCACAGGUUAGUUGAGGUAAUAUGUAUAUGUAGGUAGAGUUAUUAAAGUGAUUACGUAUAGAUGACAACAACGGAGGGUAGCAGCAGUGUAGAAGAGGGGACGGGGGGGGAAUGCAGAUUGUCUGGGUAGCCACUUCAUUAGAUGUUUGGGAGUCUUAUGGCUUGGGGGUAUAAGCUGUUUAGAAGAGAGAACAGUCUAUGACUAGGGUGGCUGGUGUCUUUGACAAUUUUUAGGGCCUUCCUCUGACACCGGCUGGUAUAGAGGUCCUGGAUGGCAGGAAGCUUGGCCCCAGUGAUGUACUGGGCCAUUUGCACUACCCCCUGUACUGUCUUGCGGUCGGAGACCGAGCAGUUGCCAUACCAGGCAGUGAUGCAACCGAUGGUGCUCUCGAUGGUGCAGCUGUAGAACCUUUUGAUGAUCUGAGGACCCAUGCAAAAUCUUUUCAGUCUCCUGAGGGGGAUUAGGUUAUGUCUUGCCCUCUUCGCAACUGUCUUGUUGUGCUUGGGCCAAGAAACACAAGCAAUGGACAUUAAUUAGACCAGUGGAAAUCUGUCCUUUGGUCUGAGGAGUCCAAAUUUGAGAUUUUUGGUUCCAAUCGCUGUGUCUUUGUGAGACGCAGAGUAGGUGAACAGAUGAUCUCCACAUGUGUGGUUCCCACCGUGAAGCAUGGAGGAGGAGAUGUGAUGGUGUGGGGGUGCUUUGCUGGUGACACUGUCUGUGAUUUACUUAGAAUUCAAGGCACACUUAACCAGCAUGGCUACCACAGCAAUCUGCAGUGAUACGCCAUCCCAUCUGGUUUGCGCUUAGUGGGACAAUC
rnacentral:lncRNA from 13 species